ACAAUCAAUCGCAACCCCAUAAACCUCGAUUUAGAUGCCGGAGAUGCCGAUCCAGAAGAUGAAUUUCGAUGUAAUUUAUCGUCUUCUGAUGAUGAAGAACAAGAAGACGAAGAACAAUAUUAGUUUUGUAUUUAUGAUAUGUACUUAAGUUAUUUCU
rnacentral:sRNA from 1 species